AAACAUGAACAUGCAGAGCGUUUCAAGGCUCAUAACGUCCUCAUUCUUGCAAGCACAACGCUGCCAAAGUCAUGACCCUCUUCCUUACAGUGACUGCAAAUAGAGAUAUUCAUUACUUUGGCAGCGUUGUGCUUGCCGGAUUGAGUCUUUGAGUGAUGGCAUACACUGCAUAUUCAUGUUU
rnacentral:pre_miRNA from 1 species